UUCCCAGCCGGGAGUCGAAACCCGGUCGCCUGGUGAGAUGCCAGGAAUCCUGACCGCUAGACCAUUGCUGGA